UACGAAGGGGGCUAGCGUUGUUCGGAAUCACUGGGCGUAAAGGGCGCGUAGGCGGCUAUUCAAGUCGGGGGUGAAAGCCUGUGGCUCAACCACAGAAUUGCCUUCGAUACUGUUUGGCUUGAGACCGGAAGAGGACAGCGGAACUGCGAGUGUAGAGGUGAAAUUCGUAGAUAUUCGCAAGAACACCAGUGGCGAAGGCGACUCUUUGGCCUGUAACUGACGCUGAGGCGCGAAAGCGUGGGGAGCAAACAGG
rnacentral:rRNA from 1 species